UAAAAAUAUAUAGACCCAAUUUUUUUUAUUAACAAUUGAUAAUGUGGUAUCUACUAUAUCUACUGAAUAUGACAUUAUUUUAGGUCGCAGAAAAAAAUCAAAACAUAGAAGAGUACAAUCGAUGAAGGAAUUCAAACAUAAUACCUACGGGAUCGAGAACAAGACCUGUUUACUUAAUAAUUUGCCAAGUUACUAAAUGGAGGGAUAACAUUGAAUUAAAUCAAUGCAACUUGAAUUAAGUCCGUAUAUACCAUAUAGAUAAAAUAUCAUAACUGCAUAGUGCAUAUCUAUAUAGGAAUACGGAUUUACAGUCAAAUACAUAAAUAAAAUUAUGAAGCGAAACUACAAAGCAUGAAAUCAUGUAGAGAACAUUGGAAAUGGAUCUAUUUUUAUGGAAAAGUAGAUAAACAAAUUUUGUAAACAAGCGUACAUAUUUUUUGGACUUUACUCAAUCAAUCUACACAUGUAUCAUAUGGUGUCUCCUGGAUAACGAUAAUAGGCUGAAGAGACUCGAUUCGAACAACCUAACAAAUAUUGGUCGGAUUCAACGCCUAUAACCCAAAAGUAUUUAUGGGUUCUACUGUUCCAGGUCACCUUGUAUGGUCGAGCAUUAAAAGUGCGAAA